CCACAACGGGAACUCCUUCCUCAUCUUUUCUUACAUGAGUAGCAAAUGUUCAUUUGCUUGCAAAAUAAGUGUGGUUAUUUUAUAGUAAAAUUACUGUUUUAAACUUUUUCUGUUAUCAACAGUACAAAAAUUCCCCCGAAAAGCCAUAAUUCCUAGAAAUGAAGUUUUCUCUGAGGAGGCAGUGUUUUGAAAAUAAGGUUCACUGAUUCCCAGUGUUCACUCAGCAAAACUGGUUGACUCAAAAACAUUAGACCUAUUUUUCGGUUUCCGGUUACUUUAUAAUUUAAAAAAAAAAUUUUUAUUAUAGUUGAUUUACAAUGUAAAGUGAACCAGUUAUACAUAAACAUACAUUCUUUUUUUCACAUUAUCCUCCAUCAUGUUCCAUCACAAGUGAUUAUAGUUCCCUAUGCUAUACAGCAGGACUGGUUACAAUUUUAGAAUGAAGUAAAUGGGUAUUUAAUAAGAUUCUAACCUUACAUAAUCAAUUAUUAACAAGAAAACAUAUAAUUUUAACAAAUUUAUUUUAAAAGUGUUUAAUAUAGAAAACAAUAGCAUUUAGAGUGUAUUCCAUUUCAUUUUUAGUAAAUUAUUAAACAUCAGUCCAUUUCCUACUUCUAGUUCUAAUCAUGUCUUCUAUCUUCUAUCCUUACAAUGCCUACCACAAUGCUAGGUACUUAGGAAAGAUUCAAAAUCAAUCGCUAGUAAAAGAAUAGGGAGUUUCCACUGUGGUGCAGUGGGUUAAUGAUCAGGCUUGUCUUUGUGGUGUUGCCAGUUCGAUCCCUUGCCAGCACAGGCUAAGGACCCUAUGUUGCCACAGCUGUGGCGUAGGUUAUGCACACGGCUCGGAUUCAAUGUCUGGCCUGGAAACUUCCAUAUGCCACUGGUGCAGCCAAAAACGGGUGAAGGGAGGAAGCGAGGGAGAGAAAGAAAGAAAGAAAGAAAGAAAGAAAGAAAGAAAGAAAGAAAGAAAGAAAGAAAGAAAAAGGUCAGCUGAUUACUGAGGAAUAAAGUUGGAGAAGUAGAGUGGCUAUAGAUUGUGAGGGGUUUGGAGAGCCAAAUUAAAGAGUUUGGGCUUGUCCCUACAGCUGUUGGGGAGUAUCUAAAAUUUUGAAGUGGGAGUAUAUUCCCAUAUCUCUGUUUUGGCUGUGCAGAGUCUGCUUUGGAGAGGAAAGAAUGAAGAAAAAUUUCUCUGACCCAGAUAGGAUCUCAGACCUAAUACCUUCUUGGCUAAAAAUUUAUCAAUUUAAUUUCUAUCCUUGUAAAUCAUGAAGGGGAGGGGAAUUCAGUAGGUACCCAUGAAAAUACUUGGCAAGUGACUUAAACUUUAAACAUUUUUUGAUUAUAAACCUAACAUAACCAUCUUGCAAAAUCUCAAACCUAAAGAAAAAUGGCAUAAACUAUGGAUAAUCCUACCACAGUACUACUAGCAUUUCGGUAUACUGGAUUUCCUAUCGGUCUUUCCCCUUUUUUAAAAAAACAGCUUGCUCUUCAAAAUAAGACAGCUGGCUCAAGCUGAUAGCGGAUUACCAGAGACCAGGUCAGAUACGAAGAAGCAUAACCAAAAGUAAUCUCUGAAUAUAUUUUAGCAGGAGCAAGGCAGACUCUAAAAGAAAACCAAACUGGAAAUACGUGUCUCAAAAGAGGAAGCACAGUUCCUGUUGUGGCACAGUGGUUAACAAAUCCAACUAGGAACCAUGAGGUUGUGGGUUCGAUCCCUGGCCUCAAAGAUCCGGCGUUGCCAUGAGCUGUGGUGUAGGUUGCAGACGCGGCUUGGAUCCUGUGUUGCUGUGGCUCUGGCAUAGGCCAGUGGCUACAGCUCUGAUUAGACCCGUAGCCUGGGAACCUCCAUAUGCCACAGGUGCAGCCCUAGAAAAGACAAAAAAUUUAAAAAUAAAUAAAUAAAUAAAAUGAGGAAGCAAAGGGCAAGAGUUCAAAGAGUGGAAAAGUUCAAGUGCUAGCCACUCCAGGAGGGCAGUAUGUAUAGGGAAGUUAUUUUACCAGGUGGCCUACUGUAUAUUGUGAGCUGGGUGUAGCUGCUUAUAGUGUUGGACUGGGUAGUUGUAAUCUUAAUUAUUUUGUCCUCGUUUCAUUUUACCUUAAAUCAUAUGCAUUUCUCAUGUUCUUAUACAGCCUUCAUAACCACUCGUAUUUUCAGAGAUUAAAUUUUUUUAAUAAGAUAAAAAUUAAAGGAGCUCCUGUUGUGGCUCAGCAGUAAUGAACUUGACUGGUAUCCAUGAAGAGGCUUUCAGUGAGUUAAGGAUCCAGCAUUGCUGUGAGCUGUGAUGUAGGUCUCAGACAUGGUUCAGAUCCCAAGUUGCUCGGCUGUGGUGUAGGCCGGCAGCUGCAGCUCCAAUUUGACCCUUAGCCUGGGAACUUCUAUAUGCCACAGGAGCAACACUAAAAAGGAAAAAUACAUAAGUUUUUUAAAAAUUUAAAAAUAUUUUUAAAGUUUUAUUUUAUUCCUUUUAACAAUUUUGUUUUAAUAUUUCCUUUAACUUUUUUUUUUUUUUUAGGGCUGCACUUGGGUCAUAUGGAAGUUCCCGGGCUAGGGAACUUAACCAGUUUGCUUAACCAGUCCUUAUUGUUAAGCAUUUACAUUACUUCUAAUUUUUUUCCAUUCUAAAUAAUGCUUUUUGUAUAAAUGUACAAGGCACUGUAAGGAGGGAGUACCCUCGGUGACAUAGCAGAUUAAGGAUCUGGCGUUUUCACUGCAGCAGCUUGGGUCGUUAGACCAGGAACUUGUACGUCCGGAGUGCAGCCAAAAAAAAAAAAAAAAAUUAUUUCCUCUGAGAAAAUUCUCACAUGUGGGUUUUCUAUAUCAAGUAGUGUGAAAAUUUCAAAAGUUCCUGAUAUGUACUGCCAAAUUGAUUUAAAAGGUUUGUCCUAAAUUCCGCUUCCACUAUUAUGUGAGAGAGAAAACCAAC
rnacentral:lncRNA from 1 species